UACGAAGGGGGCUAGCGUUGCUCGGAAUCACUGGGCGUAAAGCGCACGUGGCGGAUUGUUAAGUCAGGGGUGAAAUCCUGGAGCUCAACUCCAGAACUGCCUUUGAUACUGGCGAUCUUGAGUCCGGGAGAGGUGAGUGGAACUGCGAGUGUAGAGGUGAAAUUCGUAGAUAUUCGCAAGAACACCAGUGGCGAAGGCGGCUCACUGGCCCGGUACUGACGCUGAGGUGCGAAAGCGUGGGGAGCAAACA
rnacentral:rRNA from 1 species